rnacentral:rRNA from 1 species
AUUGAACGCUGGCGGCAUGCUUUACACAUGCAAGUCGAACGGCAGCGGGGAGGAGCUUGCUUCUCUGCCGGCGAGUGGCGAACGGGUGAGUAAUACAUCGGAACGUGUCGAGAAGAGGGGGAUAACCACCCGAAAGGGUGGCUAAUACCGCAUAAAUUCUGAGGAAGAAAGCUGGGGACCUAGGAAUAGGCCUAGCGCUUUUUGAGCGGCCGAUGUCGGAUUAGCUAGUUGGUGAGGUAAAGGCUCACCAAGGCGAAGAUCUGUAGCGGGUCUGAGAGGGGGAUCCGCCACACUGGGACUGAGACACGGCCCAGACUCCUACGGGAGGCAGCAGUGGGGAAUGUUGGACAAUGGGGGCAACCCUGAUCCAGCCAUGCCGCGUGUAUGAAGAAGGCCUUAGGGUUGUAAAGUACUUUUGUUAGGGAAGAAAAGCCAGCUGUGAAUAAUGGCUGAUACUGACGGUACCUAAAGAAUAAGCACCGGCUAACUACGUG